ACGAUCGAGAUGGAGAAGCAGGGCACGUGCAUUACUAACUCAUACGCAAGAUUUAUCGAUGUUUCGAAAAUUCUGCUAUCAUAGUACUGUAUUUUACAGCAAAUAGUGUUUGUACUUUACAUGUAUGUGAUAAAAUGAUGAGUUAGUUAUUCAUGUGCCUGUUUUCCCCAUCAUGACCAC
rnacentral:pre_miRNA from 1 species